rnacentral:lncRNA from 1 species
UGAAAGGUGAUGAUCCAAUGCCCUUUGACAUUAAAGCUGAGAUGACACUGAAGACAAAUUUUUUUGCCACUAGAAACAUGUGCAACGAGUUACUGCCGAUAAUGAAACCUCAUGGUAAGCCCAACGUGUGGACAGUCGGGUUGCAUCCCUCAGUAAGAAGUGGGCUACAGGCUUCCCGGAGCAGGGCUACCCUGCAGAAAUCACUCAGGGGUGCUAUUUCUCUGAAGGGGGAAAAAUAGAAAAUUGCUUCAUUUUCCCACAGUGUUUGGCUUCUCACUCCA